CUUAAUUCAUAUGGGAAUCAUUUUUUUUUAAAUUUUGGCUAAUCAUUUACCAACCAAUUUCAAAUUCCUCAUGUUUCAAAUCGACCCAGUGAACAACAACAACAAAAAAAAGAGCACAGUCAAAACAUAUCAAUAAAUCCGCAGCAAGGUAUCAACAGCGUCACUGAAACUUCUGUAACAACAUAAUAACAACUCAAGAACAAAACUGUCAACAAAUGGAGGACCAGAAACCCAACUAAAGAGAACAAUAAACCCAUUUUCACUCAAUGAGCCCUUAAUAAACAAGCCUCAAAAAGACAAUAACCUCAAUUUAACCUAACAUUAUAUAUCUGGGUUUAUCCCAGAGUUCACUGUAUAUAUAUAUAUAUAUAUAUAUAU